rnacentral:rRNA from 1 species
UACGUAGGGUGCGAGCGUUGUCCGGAAUUAUUGGGCGUAAAGGGCUCGUAGGCGGUUUGUCGCGUCGGGAGUGAAAAUCCAGGGCUUAACUCUGGACUGGCUUCCGAUACGGGCAGACUAGAGGUAUGCAGGGGAGAACGGAAUUCCUGGUGUAGCGGUGAAAUGCGCAGAUAUCAGGAGGAACACCCGAGGCGAAGGCGGCCCUCUGGCUCGACCCUGACGCUGAGGCGCGAAAGCGUGGGGAGCGAACGGG